AUUGGUGGGAAUCUUCGAGCCUUCAUCCUUCAACUUCAGACCUUGAAAGAGGACAUGCGCUACUGCCAGGGAUCUCUAUUUUUUUGCAGAUGUGAUGAGGUUGUCAGAAGAGAGAUGAGAGAGAGGAAGAUGGAAGGGAGGAAGAGAAGGAAGAGAGGGAGGGAAGAAGAAGAUUAGUAGAUAGAGAAGGGGAGGAGGAAGAGAACACACAAAGAAGG
rnacentral:lncRNA from 1 species